rnacentral:tRNA from 1 species
AGCCCCGAGGUGAUUUUCAUGUUGAAUUGCAAAUUCAAGGGUGCAGUUUUAAAGCUUCUGCCGGGGCUU